rnacentral:misc_RNA from 1 species
CCUAGAGUUGUAGGCUUUGCCUGCUAUCUCUUACCCAUGUCUUUUGAGUACCUUCGUUUCCUCGGCGGGUCCGCCCGCCGAUUGGUCAAUUUAAACCAUUUGCAGUUGCAAUCAGCGUCUGAAAAAACUUAAUAGUUA